rnacentral:lncRNA from 1 species
GGGGCCACAGAGGAAGACCAAUCUUCUUCUCCACAAUUCCAUAACCUAAUACAUCACUCACAAAAACAACUCAAAUUAACCCACAACACACGGACCUCCAUUUUUCUUGGCUCUCACAUGAAAUUCACACACACACUGGUCACACCAUUACACAUAUACAGACGCCAAACACAAACACACACUGAGAUCGUGAAUCGGAGAAUCAAAGAGAGGAAGUAGUGGGUCGAGGAACAGAGGGAGAGAGAGCUGCAGAACAGAGAGAGAUGCAAGAGAGAGAGAGAGAUCUUCGGAAGAGAGAGAGAGGGAAAAGGUGUAGGCUGACUGUUUUCCGGUGAGCUUUCGCCAGAAACCGGCCGGAAUCCGACACUGAGAACACCAUCGAUCUCAAAACCACCUAAAAAUUGACCAAAAAUUCAGUUCAUUCAAAAUCGCCAUAACCAGCACCCUGACUCCGAUGCAAUCGACCGGAAAACGAGCUAUAUAGUGACGUUUCUUGGUGAUACGAAUCGGGUUUCGGUGUUUUGUCUGCCUCUUUGUGAUUUUUGAGUUCGAAUCAGAUUUUGGGGUAGUAUUUUUGACUGGUUUUAACUCUAUUCGAAGUUGAAUUCAAUACCGGGUUGGAUUUUGUUUUGUGUCGAGGUUUGAUUGAGGUUUUCGAAUGCAGUCUCGACUUUUGGUCACGUAAUCUGAUACAAUAAAGCUCUAAUUGAGGUUCUAUUCUACUCCUUUCUUCUUCUUAUAUCAUUGUUGAUGAUAUUAGGUGCAUUGAAUUGAAUAUAUGUGUUGGUUUAAUUCUUGUUGGUGAUAAACGCAUGUUUGACUUGAUCUGUGGUUAGUUACCUUGAUUGUGGUAUAGUGAAAUGAUGUAUUGUUUGAGAAUUAAAAUUGGUUGUUGGGUUGGGAUUGAAAAGUUGAUAGAAAGGGUGAAUUUGUUUAUUUUUAUUUUCGGAAUAAGUUUGAAUAUUGUCGGAACGUGAUACAAUUUUGAUGUGUGGAAACAGAUAGGCAAAUGUAGGUGCGGUUAGACGAAUUUUAGGAUUGAUGACUUUUGAAUGUGUGAAUGUUUGUUGAAUGGUUUUUUUUAGUUUUAACGCACAAAAAUUGAGAAAAAAUGUAUUCAUUUUAUCGGGGAAUGCCCCGAGGUUUAUGUACUUAUUCUCCGGGGAAUGCCCCGAAGUAUCUUGUACUCGAAGGAUGUUCGUGAUGAAGGUUCGAGGCGUCGGGUAGAGCACUAGUCUAGAAUUGGUUCAGAAUAGGAUUUUUACAUUUCUGCAUUUUUUUAUUUUUGGAUUGUAAUAAUUGGACUGGACAUUAUAAUUUUGGAUUUGUUUGUUU